ACCACUCCAUUUCAUGACGAACUUCGUACGAACCUCAAUUGUCCAAUUAUAUGGACCAAUGGAUACCGGAUUGAGUCCAAAACUCGGGGAACAUCAUAAUACGAUGGGAGGAGUCAUUUGGUGGGUUUUGACUGAAAUCCAAUCUCUACAACUAUGCAAUACACCGACCACUCCAUUUUAGAACGAACUUCGUUCGAACUUGAAUUGUCCAAUUUCAUGGACCGAUCGAUAUC
rnacentral:lncRNA from 1 species